CCGGCGCACGGGUGCGUAACGCGUAUGCAAUCUACCUUUUACAGAGGGAUAGCCCAGAGAAAUUUGGAUUAAUACCUCAUAGUAUAACGACCUGGCAUCAGGAUGUUAUUAAAGUCACAACGGUAAAAGAUGAGCAUGCGUCCCAUUAGCUUGUUGGUAAGGUAACGGCUUACCAAGGCUACGAUGGGUAGGGGUCCUGAGAGGGAGAUCCCCCACACUGGUACUGAGACACGGACCAGACUCCUACGGGAGGCAGCAGUGAGGAAUAUUGGACAAUGGGCGCAAGCCUGAUCCAGCCAUGCCGCGUGCAGGAUGACGGUCCUAUGGAUUGUAAACUGCUUUUGCACAGGAAGAAACACUACCUCGUGAGGUAGCUUGACGGUACUGUGAGAAUAAGGAUCGGCUAACUCCGUGCCAGCAGCCGCGGUAAUACGGAGGAUCCAAGCGUUAUCCGGAAUCAUUGGGUUUAAAGGGUCCGUAGGCGGCCAGAUAAGUCAGUGGUGAAAGCCCAUCGCUCAACGAUGGAACGGCCAUUGAUACUGUCUGGCUUGAAUUACUUGGAAGUAACUAGAAUAUGUAGUGCAGCGGUGAAAUGCUUAGAGAUUACAUGGAAUACCAAUUGCGAAGGCAGGUUACUACAAGUUUAUUGACGCUGAUGGACGAAAGCGUGGGUAGCGAACAGGAUUAGAUACCCUGGUAGUCCACGCCGUAAACGAUGGAUACUAGCUGUUUGGAGCAAUCUGAGUGGCUAAGCGAAAGUGAUAAGUAUCCCACCUGGGGAGUACGUUCGCAAGAAUGAAACUCAAAGGAAUUGACGGGGGCCCGCACAAGCGGUGGAGCAUGUGGUUUAAUUCGAUGAUACGCGAGGAACCUUACCAAGGCUUAAAUGUAGAUUGACCGGUUUGGA
rnacentral:rRNA from 1 species